rnacentral:rRNA from 1 species
AGUAAUGCGUGAGCAACCUGCCCUUCAGAGGGGACAACAGUUGGAAACGACUGCUAAUACCGCAUGAUGUGACCGGGAGGCAUCUUCUGGCCACCAAAGAUUUUAUCGCUGAAGGAUGGGCUCACGUCUGAUUAGCUGGUUGGUGGGGUAACGGCCUACCAAGGCGACGAUCAGUAGCCGGACUGAGAGGUUGAACGGCCACAUUGGGACUGAGAUACGGCCCAGACUCCUACGGGAGGCAGCAGUGGGGAAUAUUGGGCAAUGGGCGCAAGCCUCGACCCAGCAACGCCGCGUGAAGGAAGAAGGCCUUCGGGUUGUAAACUUCUUUUAGUGGGGGACGAAGGACGUGACGGUACCUCAUGAAUAAGCCACGGCUAGCUACGUGCCAGCCGCAGC